rnacentral:ncRNA from 1 species
AACAUAUUUCCGCGGAGAACCAGUAAAUACUUCAGCUACAAAAAAGGGUUGUGAUAAGAAACGCUCAAUUUUUCGCGCUCUUGCUACGGUUAAACGAUUCUCUUCAGAUAAUUCAUCCAACCCAAGGAUAGCUACAAUGUCCUGAAGCUAUAACUGACUACAAGACCCACCCGUCGAGCAGGGAUGGAAGUCGGCCUUAGUGAUCCGACGGUGCAGAGUGGAAGGGUUGUCGCUUAACGGAUAAAAGUUACUUUAGGGACAGGCUGAUCUUCCCCAAGAGCUCACAUCGACGGGAAGGUUUGGCACCUCGAUGUCGGCUCUUCGCCACCUGGGGCUGUAGUAUGUUCCAAGGGUAGGGUUGUUCGCCCAUUAAAGCGGUACGUGAGCUAGGUUCAGAACAUCAUGAGACAGUUCGCUCCAUAUCCGGUGUGGGCGUUAGAGCAUUGAGAGGAACUUUCUCUUGUACGAGAGGACCGGGAAGGACUUACCUCUGGUGUACCAGUUAAGUGACAGUUACAUCUCUAGGUGCCCUUUUGAUAAACGUAGAACUAGUACUGAAACCGGGAGGUCCAUUAUACAAACCCGCGCGAAGAGACGUGAUUUAACUCUAAGAGAAAGGCCUAAUGAUCUCGAUGCAACUAAAAAAAUACAGGCAUUUGUGGGUUCAAUGCAAAAA